rnacentral:rRNA from 1 species
AUGAACGCUGGCGGCGUACCUAACGCAUGCAAGUCGGACGGGGAUUUUGUAGCAAUACGGGAUUCCUAGUGGCAAACGGUGUGAGUAACACGUAGGUGACCUACCUCCGAGUGGGGAAUAACGGCUCGAAAGAGGCGCUAAUACCGCAUAUGCACGGAAGUGUAAAGGUGGAAACAUCGCUGGGAGAGGGGCCUGCGGUCCCAUCAGGUGGUUGGUGUAGUAACGGUGCACCAAGCCGAUGACGGGUAGCUGAUCUGAGAGGCAUGACCAGCCACACUGGCGCUGCGACACGGGCCAGACUCCUACGGGAGGCAGCAGCGAGGAAUAUUGCGCAAUGGGCGACAGCCUGACGCCUAGUAACGCCGCGUGCGGGAUGAAGGUCUUCGGAUCGUAAACCGCUUUUUGUCGGGACGAGAUAGGACUGGUACCGGCAGAAUCAGUCUCGGCUAACUACGUGCCAGCAGCCGCGGUAAAACGUAGGAGGCGAGCGUUAUCCGGAUUCACUGGGCGUAAAGCGCCGGUAGGUGGUUCGUCAAGUCGGUUGUGAAAGCCCCCGGCUCAACUGGGGGAGGUCAGCCGAAACGGACGGACUGGAGGGCAAGAGAGGAGAGUGGAAUUCCCGGUGUAGCGGUGGAAUGCGUAGAGAUCGGGAGGAACACCAGUGGCGAUAAGCGGCUCUCUGGCUUGCACCUGACACUGAGAGGCGAAAGCGUGUGGUAGCAAACGGGAUUAGAUACCCCGGUAGUCCACGCCCUAAACGAUGCCGACUAGGUGUGGGAGGGUCAGCCCCUUCCGUGCCGUAGCCAACGCGUUAAGUCGGCCGCUCUGGGGACUACGAGCGCAAGCUUAAAACUCAAUAGGAAUUGACGGGGGCCCGCACAAGCAGCGGAGCGUGCGGUUCAAUUCGAUGCAACACGAAGAACCUUACCAGGGUUUGACAUGGUGGUGGUAGGGAAGCGAAAGCGGACCGACCCGCAAGGGAGCCAUUACAGGUGAUGCAUGGCUGUCGUCAGCUCGUGCCGUGAGGUGUUGGGUUAAGUCCCGCAACGAGCGCAACCCUUGUCGCUAGUUACAAGUGUCUAGCGAGACUGCCGGAUUAUGUCCGGAGGAAGGUGGGGACGACGUCAAGUCAGCAUGUCCUUUAUAUCCUGGGCGACACGCACGCUACAAUGGGUGUGACAAUGCGUUGCCAAACCGUGAGGUGGAGCUAAUCGCACAAACGCACCCUCAGUUCAGAUUGCAGGCUGCAACCCGCCUGCAUGAAGUCGGAGUUGCUAGUAAACGCGCGUCAGCCAUAGUGCGUUGAAUACGUUCUCGGGCCUUGUACACACCGCCCGUCACGUCAUGGGAGCUGGUAACACCUGAAGCCGGUAGCCUAACCGCAAGGAGGGCGCCGUCGAUAGGUGGGGCUGGUGACUGGGACG